UGGCGGACGGGUGAGUAAUGUCUGGGGAACUGCCCGAUGGAGGGGGAUAACUACUGGAAACGGUAGCUAAUACCGCAUAACGUCGCAAGACCAAAGAGGGGGACCUCCGGGCCUCGCGCCAUCAGAUGAACCCAUAUGGGACUAGCUUGUAGGUAAGGUAACGGCUUACCUAGGCGACGAUCCCUAGCUGGUCUGAGAGGAUGAUCAGCCACACUGGGACUGAGACACGGCCCAG
rnacentral:rRNA from 1 species